CUUAACUAUACAAUUGGUACAUAUAUUAUUUUGAGUUCUUAUGUCAACAAUAGCGUGUACACUAGUUGUACAAAAAAGCCGAUAAUAUAUAAAUAUCAGAAAUGGCAUUACAGAAAUUAAAACUCGAUCAAUAAACCGUCAUAAUCGGUACUUAUUCGAAAUAACCAGCGACACUGUUACGUGUAUCUGUAUAUACAUUUACAACAUGUUUGAUUUUGAACUAAAAUAGUUAACUGUAGAUAACUAUCCGUUAUCAAGACAUUUAAAAAAG